UACGAAGGGGGCUAGCGUUGCUCGGAAUGACUGGGCGUAAAGGGCGCGUAGGCGGUUCGUACAGUUGGAUGUGAAAUUCCCGGGCUCAACCUGGGGGCUGCAUUCAAUACGUGCGGGCUUGAGUUCGGAAGAGGGUCGUGGAAUUCCCAGUGUAGAGGUGAAAUUCGUAGAUAUUGGGAAGAACACCGGUGGCGAAGGCGGCGACCUGGUCCGAUACUGACGCUGAGGCGCGAAAGCCAGGGGAGCAAACGGG
rnacentral:rRNA from 1 species